rnacentral:pre_miRNA from 14 species
UUUUAACAACAGUUGAUACUGAAAGAUCCCCGAAGAGAGACCCUUACUCAAGUCUCUGGAAGUCGCGGACCCCAGACACAGAGAGACCA